AUGAACGCUAGCUACAGGCUUAACACAUGCAAGUCGAGGGGCAGCAUGGUCUUAGCUUGCUAAGACUGAUGGCGACCGGCGCACGGGUGAGUAACACGUAUCCAACCUGCCGUCUACUCUUGGACAGCCUUCUGAAAGGAAGAUUAAUACAAGAUGGCAUCAUGAGUCCGCAUGUUCACAUGAUUAAAGGUAUUCCGGUAGACGAUGGGGAUGCGUUCCAUUAGAUAGUAGGCGGGGUAACGGCCCACCUAGUCUUCGAUGGAUAGGGGUUCUGAGAGGAAGGUCCCCCACAUUGGAACUGAGACACGGUCCAAACUCCUACGGGAGGCAGCAGUGAGGAAUAUUGGUCAAUGGGCGAGAGCCUGAACCAGCCAAGUAGCGUGAAGGAUGACUGCCCUAUGGGUUGUAAACUUCUUUUAUACAAGGAAUAAAGUCGGGUAUGCAUACCCGUUUGCAUGUACUUUAUGAAUAAGGAUCGGCUAACUCCGUGCCAGCAGCCGCGGUAAUACGGAGGAUCCGAGCGUUAUCCGGAUUUAUUGGGUUUAAAGGGAGCGUAGAUGGAUGUUUAAGUCAGUUGUGAAAGUUUGCGGCUCAACCGUAAAAUUGCAGUUGAUACUGGAUAUCUUGAGUGCAGUUGAGGCAGGCGGAAUUCGUGGUGUAGCGGUGAAAUGCUUAGAUAUCACGAAGAACUCCGAUUGCGAAGGCAGCCUGCUAAGCUGCAACUGACAUUGAGGCUCGAAAGUGUGGGUAUCAAACAGGAUUAGAUACCCUGGUAGUCCACACGGUAAACGAUGAAUACUCGCUGUUUGCGAUAUACUGCAAGCGGCCAAGCGAAAGCGUUAAGUAUUCCACCUGGGGAGUACGCCGGCAACGGUGAAACUCAAAGGAAUUGACGGGGGCCCGCACAAGCGGAGGAACAUGUGGUUUAAUUCGAUGAUACGCGAGGAACCUUACCCGGGCUUAAAUUGCAGAUGAAUUACGGUGAAAGCCGUAAGCCGCAAGGCAUCUGUGAAGGUGCUGCAUGGUUGUCGUCAGCUCGUGUCGUGAGAUGUUGGGUUAAGUCCCGCAACGAGCGCAACCCUUGUUGUCAGUUACUAACAGGUUCCGCUGAGGACUCUGACAAGACUGCCAUCGUAAGAUGUGAGGAAGGUGGGGAUGACGUCAAAUCAGCACGGCCCUUACGUCCGGGGCUACACACGUGUUACAAUGGGGGGUACAGAGGGCCGCUACCACGCGAGUGGAUGCCAAUCCCCAAAACCUCUCUCAGUUCGGACUGGAGUCUGCAACCCGACUCCACGAAGCUGGAUUCGCUAGUAAUCGCGCAUCAGCCACGGCGCGGUGAAUACGUUCCCGGGCCUUGUACACACCGCCCGUCAAGCCAUGGGAGCCGGGGGUACCUGAAGUGCGUAACCGCGAGGAGCGCCCUAGGGUAAAACUGGUGACUGGGGCU
rnacentral:rRNA from 1 species